rnacentral:rRNA from 1 species
GACGAACGCUGGCGGCGUGCCUAAUACAUGCAAGUUGAGCGAUGAAGAUUGGUGCUUGCACCAAUUUGAAGAGCAGCGAACGGGUGAGUAACGCGUGGGGAAUCUGCCUUUGAGCGGGGGACAACAUUUGGAAACGAAUGCUAAUACCGCAUAACAACUUUAAACAUAAGUUUUAAGUUUGAAAGAUGCAAUUGCAUCACUCAAAGAUGAUCCCGCGUUGUAUUAGCUAGUUGGUGAGGUAAAGGCUCACCAAGGCGAUGAUACAUAGCCGACCUGAGAGGGUGAUCGGCUACAUUGGGACUGAGACACGGCCCAAACUCCUACGGGAGGCAGCAGUAGGGAAUCUUCGGCAAUGGACGAAAGUCUGACCGAGCAACGCCGCGUGAGUGAAGAAGGUUUUCGGAUCGUAAAACUCUGUUGGUAGAGAAGAACGUUGGUGAGAGUGGAAAGCUCAUCAAGUGACGGUAACUACCCAGAAAGGGACGGCUAACUACGUG